rnacentral:rRNA from 1 species
GACGAACGCUGGCGGCGUGCUUAACACAUGCAAGUCGAACGGAAAGGCCCUGCUCUUGUGGGGUGCUCGAGUGGCGAACGGGUGAGUAACACGUGAGUAACCUGCCCUUGACUUUGGGAUAACUUCAGGAAAAUGGGGCUAAUACCGGAUAGGAGCUCCUGAUGCAUGGGGGGGGAUGGAAAGUUUCGGCGGUUGGGGAUGGACUCGCGGCUUAUCAGCUUGUUGGUGAGGUAGUGGCUGACCAAGGCUUUGACGGGUAGCCGGCCUGAGAGGGUGACCGGCCACAUUGGGACUGAGAUACGGCCCAGACUCCAACGGGAGGCAGCAGUGGGGAAUAUUGCACAAUGGGCGCAAGCCUGAUGCAGCAGCGCCGCGUGCGGGAUGAUGGCCUUCGGGUUGUAAACCGCUUUCGCCUGUGCCGAAGAGUGAGUGACGGUAAUGGGUAAAGAAGCACCGGCUAACUACGUG